rnacentral:rRNA from 1 species
UGGGGUAUAUUGGACAAUGGGCGCAAGCCUGAUCCAGCCAUGCCGCGUGUGUGAAGCAGGCCUUAUGGUUGUAAAGCACUUUAAGCGAGGAGGAGGCUACUUUAGUUAAUACCUAGCGAUAGUGGACGUUACUCGCAGAAUACGCACCGGCUAACUCUGUGCCAGCAGCCGCGGUAAUACAGAGGGUGCAAGCGUUAAUCGGAUUUACUGGGCGUAAAGCGCGCGUAGGCGGCUAAUUAAGUCAAAUGUGAAAUCCCCGAGCUUAACUUGGGGAUUGCAUUCGAUACUGGUUAGCUAGAGUGUGGGAGAGGAUGGUAGAAUUCCAGGUGUAGCGGUGAAAUGCGUAGAGAUCUGGAGGAAUACCGAUGGCGAAGGCAGCCAUCUGGCCUAACACGGACGCUGAGGUGCGAAAGCAUGGGGAGCAAACAGG